rnacentral:tRNA from 1 species
CAUUAAGAAGCUAGUUUAGCAUUAACCUUUUAAGUUAAAGAUUGGGAAAUGAAAUUCUCCUUAAUGA